UACGUAGGGGGCCAGCGUUGUCCGGAAUCAUUGGGCGUAAAGCGCGCGUAGGCGGCCAGAUAAGUCCGGUGUGAAAGUCACAGGCUCAACCUGUGAAUGCCGCUGGAAACUAUCUGGCUAGAGUCCGGAAGGGGCGAGUGGAAUUCCUGGUGUAGCGGUGAAAUGCGCAGAUAUCAGGAAGAACACCCGUGGCGAAGGCGGCUCUCUGGGACGGUACUGACGCUGAGACGCGAAAGCGUGGGGAGCGAACAGG
rnacentral:rRNA from 1 species